UGUCCCAGCAGCCGCGGUAAUACAGAGGGUGCGAGCGUUAAUCGGAAUUACUGGGCGUAAAGCGAGUGUAGGUGGCUUAUUAAGUCACAUGUGAAAUCCCUGGGCUUAACCUAGGAACUGCAUGUGAUACUGGUGAGCUAGAGUAUGUGAGAGGAAAGUAGAAUUCCAGGUGUAGCGGUGAAAUGCGUAGAGAUCUGGAGGAAUACCGAUGGCGAAGGCAGCUUUCUGGCAUAAUACUGACACUGAGACUCGAAAGCGUGGGUAGCAAACAGGAUUAGAUACCCUGGUAGUCCACGCCGUAAACGAUGUCUACUAGCCGUUGGGGCCCUUGAGGCUUUAGUGGCGCAGUUAACGCGAUAAGUAGACCGCCUGGGGAGUACGGCCGCAAGGUUAAAACUCAAAUGAAUUGACGGGGGCCCGCACAAGCGGUGGAGCAUGUGGUUUAAUUCGAUGCAACGCGAAGAACCUUACCUGGUCUUGACAUA
rnacentral:rRNA from 1 species